AAUCUUCCGCAAUGGACGAAAGUCUGACGGAGCAACGCCGCGUGAGUGAUGAAGGUCUUCGGAUCGUAAAACUCUGUUAUCAGGGAAGAACAAGUAUCGGAGUAACUGCCGGUACCUUGCCGGUACCUGACCAGAAAGCCACGGCUAACUAACUGCCAGCAGCCGCGGUAAUACGUAGGUGGCAAGCGUUGUCCGGAAUUAUUGGGCGUAAAGCGCGCGCAGGCGGUCCUUUAAGUCUGAUGUGAAAUCCCGUGGCUUAACCACGGGCGGUCAUUGGAAACUGGGGGACUUGAGUGCAGAAGAGAAGAGCGGAAUUCCACGUGUAGCGGUGAAAUGCGUAGAGAUGUGGAGGAACACCAGUGGCGAAGGCGGCUCUUUGGUCUGUAACUGACGCUGAGGCGCGAAAGCGUGGGGAGCAAACA
rnacentral:rRNA from 1 species